CACGUAGGGGGCGAGCGUUGUCCGGAUUUAUUGGGCGUAAAGAGCUCGUAGGCGGUUCGGCAAGUCGGGUGUGAAAUUUCGAGGCUCAACCUCGAAACGCCACUCGAUACUGCUGUGACUGGAGUCCGGUAGAGGAGUGCGGAAUUCCUGGUGUAGCGGUGAAAUGCGCAGAUAUCAGGAGGAACACCAACGGCGAAGGCAGCUCGCUGGGACGGUACUGACGCUGAGGCGCGAAAGCGUGGGGAGCAAACAGG
rnacentral:rRNA from 1 species